UGGGGAAUAUUGGACAAUGGGCGAAAGCCUGAUCCAGCAAUGCCGCGUGAGUGAUGAAGGCCUUAGGGUUGUAAAGCUCUUUUACCCGAGAUGAUAAUGACAGUAUCGGGAGAAUAAGCCCCGGCUAACUCCGUGCCAGCAGCCGCGGUAAUACGGAGGGGGCUAGCGUUGUUCGGAAAUACUGGGCGUAAAGCGCACGUAGGCGGCGAUUCAAGUCAGAGGUGAAAGCCCGGGGCUCAACCCCGGAACUGCCUUUGAAACUAGAUUGCUAGAAUCCUGGAGAGGUCAGUGGAAUUCCGAGUGUAGAGGUGAAAUUCGUAGAUAUUCGGAAGAACACCAGUGGCGAAGGCGACUGACUGGACAGGUAUUGACGCUGAGGUGCGAAAGCGUGGGGAGCAAACAGG
rnacentral:rRNA from 1 species